rnacentral:rRNA from 1 species
UACGUAGGAGGCAAGCGUUGUCCGGAAUACUGGGCGUAAAGCGCGUGUAGGUGGUGGGACAAGUCUGCUGUGAAAGCGCCUGGCUUAACCGGGCGAGGUCGGCGGAAACUGCCUCACUGGAGGACGGUAGAGGGGGGUGGAAUUCCCGGUGUAGUGGUGAAAUGCGUAGAGAUCGGGAGGAACACCUGUGGCGAAGGCGGCCCCCUGGGCCGGCCCUGACACUGAGACGCGAAGGCGUGGGGAGCGAACGGG